GACGAACGCUGGUGGCGUGCUUAACACAUGCAAGUCGAACGGAAAGGCCCUGCUUUUGUGGGGUGCUCGAGUGGCGAACGGGUGAGUAACACGUGAGUAACCUGCCCUUGACUUUGGGAUAACUUCAGGAAACUGGGGCUAAUACCGGAUAGGAGCUCCUGCUGCAUGGUGGGGGUUGGAAAGUUUCGGCGGUUGGGGAUGGACUCGCGGCUUAUCAGCUUGUUGGUGGGGUAGUGGCUUACCAAGGCUUUGACGGGUAGCCGGCCUGAGAGGGUGACCGGCCACAUUGGGACUGAGAUACGGCCCAGACUCCUACGGGAGGCAGCAGUGGGGAAUAUUGCACAAUGGGCGGAAGCCUGAUGCAGCAACGCCGCGUGCGGGAUGACGGCCCUCGGGUUGUAAACCGCUUUCGCCUGUGACGAAGCGUGAGUGACGGUAAUGGGUAAAGAAGCACCGGCUAACUACGUG
rnacentral:rRNA from 1 species